UUUGUGGGGUGCGGGAUGGCGCUGUUAGACUCAAAUGCCUGCUUCCCGUGGGGUUGGCAAAUUCAGUCAUCUUAGGCGACCUCCCCACAGUAGAAAAAGGUUAAAAAGUGGAAAAAAAGAAAUCGACCAUCACACUUGACCUUCCAGGGCCAAACCUCCGGCCACUCAGUCACACCAGGCAGCCAACCUUUCACAGAGAUGCUGGGACAUUGCUUGGGCACACUUCAGCUUGAUGAAAAGGGGACAUUCCCCUCUAUCUUCCUGCUGAAGUCCGUCCCCGCCUCUCAGUCCCUCACCUCUGCCACCGCCAAAUCCUCGCUGGGCAGCUUCCGAUGACAAGUCAGCCCGGGGCCACCUGGCUACGGAAGCUCGCGGGCCCUCCAGGCUUCCGUCUGGGGAUCGCACAUCCACAGGAGGGAGUGGUGUGCACCAGACAGGUUCCUAGAACGGGGCUGCAUGGCAAUGCUGAGACAUCAUGCUGGGUGAGAGUGGACAUCCUCAUUUUAUUCCCACCCUGACUGUGGAUCUCUCCUGCCUGUGCUUCAGCACUCAGUAUAAUGCUGGCUGAGCUCUUCUGACCAAUACCCUCCAUGAUGUGAGGAAAACACAGUUAGGAGCGGUUGUUGAAUUGUAUGAUCUGCCACUGAAGUAAUCUGUGAAAUGAUUACUUGGAUUUUCUCCUUUAACCAAUUAUUGUUAUAAAUUAUAUUAACAUAUGUCAUGCUAAUAAAUUAUUUCCAUAUUCCUAGGAAUAAAGCUGAGUAGUUCAUGGUAUACUAUUUUUUGAAUUUAUUCCUGGAUUUUCUGAGAAGUGUUAUAUCUAUACUCAUAAGUGCAAUUGUUCUAAAGAUGCUUUUCUUUGCUCUUUGUUGAGUUUGGGCUUAAAUGUGAUGCUAGCCUUAUGUAAUCAGUUUCAGACAAUUUCUACACUUUCUAUGCUUUGGGAAAUUUAAAAGCGCAUGAUAUUGAACUAUUUCCAUCAAGGUAUGAUAAAAAUCACCUAUGACCUGGAUUACUUAUAAGGGAUCUGAAGGAAGGUGGGAAGUAAUUUGCAUUUGACAAAAGCUUUCCCUCCUUGAGAUUGGAGUCGUUUGAUCAAAAAAAGUAGUUUUACAGUUCUAUGUGGUUAAAAAUUAAAAUUCUUUUGUCAUUAUUUACUACUUGUACUUGUAGAAUUUCUACCUUAUUUAGAAUAGAUUUUGUUAGGCCGAAUUCAUGAUCAAUAUUUACAAAUAUUCAGUUAAUACAUUACAAUUUUAAAAGAAUGUGCUUUAACUCUUUGUGGCUUACAAUGUUUUCUAUGUAGCUAGUAUGUCAAGUUUGUUAAUUUUAUUAUUCAUGCCUUCUAUGUCCUGUUUUAUCUCGUUAAUCCACAAAAUUCUAUACAAUGUGUUAGAACUUUUUAAUAUCAAACAAUUUUAUCCAAGUUUCCUGUUUAUUUUUUCACAUUAUCUCCUCUGAGACUAAUAUUUGAAAUGCAAUACUAGUUCAUGAAAUACAAUGCUAGUCAAUGAA